rnacentral:rRNA from 1 species
ACGGGUGAGUAACACGUGGGUAACCUGCCCUGUACUCUGGGAUAAGCCUUGGAAACGAGGUCUAAUACCGGAUACGACCAUUGAUCGCAUGAUCGGUGGUGGAAAGUUCCGGCGGUAUGGGAUGGACCCGCGGCCUAUCAGCUUGUUGGUGGGGUAAUGGCCUACCAAGGCGACGACGGGUAGCCGGCCUGAGAGGGUGACCGGCCACACUGGGACUGAGACACGGCCCAGACUCCUACGGGAGGCAGCAGUGGGGAAUAUUGCACAAUGGGCGAAAGCCUGAUGCAGCGACGCCGCGUGAGGGAUGACGGCCUUCGGGUUGUAAACCUCUUUCAGCAGGGACGAAGCGCAAGUGACGGUACCUGCAGAAGAAGCACCGGCUAACUACGUGCCAGCAGCCGCGGUAAUACGUAGGGUGCGAGCGUUGUCCGGAAUUAUUGGGCGUAAAGAGCUCGUAGGCGGUUUGUCGCGUCGGCCGUGAAAACUUGGGGCUUAACUCCAAGCUUGCGGUCGAUACGGGCAGACUUGAGUUCGGCAGGGGAGACUGGAAUUCCUGGUGUAGCGGUGAAAUGCGCAGA